UAGGGAAUCUUCCACAAUGGACGCAAGUCUGAUGGAGCAACGCCGCGUGAGUGAAGAAGGUCUUCGGAUCGUAAAGCUCUGUUGUUGGUGAAGAAGGAUAGAGGCAGUAACUGGUCUUUAUUUGACGGUAAUCAACCAGAAAGUCACGGCUAACUACGUGCCAGCAGCCGCGGUAAUACGUAGGUGGCAAGCGUUGUCCGGAUUUAUUGGGCGUAAAGCGAGCGCAGGCGGAAUGAUAAGUCUGAUGUGAAAGCCCACGGCUCAACCGUGGAACUGCAUCGGAAACUGUCAUUCUUGAGUGCAGAAGAGGAGAGUGGAACUCCAUGUGUAGCGGUGGAAUGCGUAGAUAUAUGGAAGAACACCAGUGGCGAAGGCGGCUCCCUGGUCUGCAACUGACGCUGAGGCUCGAAAGCAUGGGUAGCGAACAGGAUUAGAUACCCUGGUAGUCCAUGCCGUAAACGAUGAGCGCUAGGUGUUGGGGACUUUCCGGUCCUCAGUGCCGCAGCAAACGCAUUAAGCGCUCCGCCUGGGGAGUACGACCGCAAGGUUGAAACG
rnacentral:rRNA from 1 species